CAACRCCUGGGUUGGGAGGGUAGCCCUAAAUAAGACAACUUGCCACCUGCUAUUGACUUGCCAGAGUCUAUCUUGUUCUGCUCUCAGGAAGCAUUUCAGUUGGGUUGCGUUUGCUCCGUUUCAUUCCUUGGCUUCUGAUUGCACCAGCCUGUGUGUAAGGAAAUGCUCUGUACCAGCUUCUUGAAGACUACUGCAUUAGAUGCUUCUGAAAUGUGAUCUUUAGCAUAAAGGUCAUGUGCAGGAAGCAGCUGGAAUGUUCUGCAUCUGCCAGUUACUACGUGCACGGGAGAGACAAACCCAGAAGUCUCACUGUGUCAGGCACUGAGUGUUCACACCACGCAGAGCCAAUGUGAAACAUUCCCAAUCCACAACGUCCUGCUUCCUCUUACUGGCUAAGAACUCAGCCCCACUGCAUGCUGAAUGAAAUGAUGCUGUGUGGGAGGUUCCUCCCACUACUUCUGCACGAGUUACAGGAAGGAACCUCUAAUGAAAACCCAAAAGCUGGAGCCCCUUUACUGAACCUUGAUAAAGCUUUCUAAAACUUGAUGAAGUUCUCUUUCUUUUUUCCCUGGCUUCUUAGCUUAUGUAGCUAUUCAKCCCCUCCAAAUUUGAACAUUGUCCCUUUUAAUCAUCAGAGAUUGAGUUGGCACAAUUAUUACUACCUGACUUUCAAUUAAGAUGC